AACGAACGCUGGCGGCAUGCCUAACACAUGCAAGUCGAACGAGACCUUCGGGUCUAGUGUCGCACGGGUGCGUAACGCGUGGGAACCUGCCCUUAGGUUCGGAAUAACUCCCCGAAAGGGGUGCUAACACCGGAUAAUGUCUUCGGACCAAAGAUUUAUCGCCUUUGGAUGGGCCCUCGUUGGAUUAGCUAGUUGGUAGGGUAAAAGCCUACCAAGGCGACGAUCCAUAGCUGGUCUGAGAGGAUGAUCAGCCACACUGGGACUGAGACACGGCCCAGACUCCUACGGGAGGCAGCAGUGGGGGAUAUUGGACAAUAGGCGGAAGCCUGAUGCAGCAAUGCCGCGAGAGUGAUGAAGGCCUUAGGGUUGUAAAGCUCUUUUACCCGGGAUGAUAAUGACAGUACCGGGAGAAUAAGCUCCGGCUAACUCCGUG
rnacentral:rRNA from 1 species